rnacentral:rRNA from 1 species
GACGUAGGGCGCGAGCGUUGUCCGGAAUUAUUGGGCGUAAAGCGCGUGUAGGCGGCUUUGCAAGUCGGGUGUGAAAUCCCUCGGCUCAACCGAGGAAGUGCGCCCGAAACUGCAGAGCUUGAGUACCGGAGAGGAUGGCGGAAUUCCCGAAGUAGAGGUGAAAUUCGUAGAUAUCGGGAGGAACACCGGUGGCGAAGGCGGCCAUCUGGACGGAUACUGACGCUGAGACGCGAAAGCGUGGGGAGCAAACAGG